rnacentral:lncRNA from 1 species
AAAGAGCUUUGCCUCGGUCCUCUGGGGGCUGUUCCGUGGCUGUCACCUCUGCUAUCAUCCGGGGUAUCUGUGCACGGAAACCCCCUUUACUGUGGUACUCCCGGGGGUAGUGACUGGGAGAGCCAAAAAUAUUCUAAUUAUCCUUGUUUAUUAUGAUUAUUAUAAUCAUUAUAUGUAAGUCUUUCGUCUAAAGUUCAUCGGACCCAAUUUAAUUAACUCCAAGGCUCAGGCAGAUCAAUUCAUGAUUAUUUUUGUGUUUGCUCAAAUGGAUUUUUCUUGUGGACAGCGAGUGACACGAGUGCUCGUUAUUCGGUGACCAGUGGAGCUCCAUGAGACACCCCCUCAGUUCCAGGAGUUGCUGUUUUGUGCAAGAAACCCAGGAACCAGGACUGAGAUGUGGGAGUUUGGGUCCUGAAAUCAGCAAGAUGUCAAACAUUUGCAUGGAUGAUCAGACUCAGGGAGAAAGCCUCUUAGUGUCAGUGUUGUCUGUAAUUAAUCUUCAAGCAUCUCAUUGAAAAGACUGCAGAGAAGGGAGGAGCUGAAAUGUUUCUAUGGAAGAAGGAACGGUGGGAGGUAAAGAUGUUGAAAUUCCUGGGGCUGCCCUGUGGCCAAGUGGUUAAGUUCGCGCGCUGCUUUGGCGCCCAGGGUUUGCCAGUUUGGAUCCUGGGCGCAGACAUGGCACCGCUCAUCAGGCCCUGCUGAGGCAGCGUCCCACAUGCCACAACUAGAAGGACCCACAACUAAAAAUAUACAACUAUGUACCAGGGGGCUUUGGGGAGA